AUUGAACGCUGGCGGCAUGCCUUACACAUGCAAGUCGAACGGUAACAGGUUAAGCUGACGAGUGGCGAACGGGUGAGUAAUACAUCGGAACGUGCCCAGUAGUGGGGGAUAGCCCGGCGCAAGCCGGAUUAAUACCGCAUACGACCUAAGGGUGAAAGGGGGGGAUCGCAAGACCUCUCGCUAUUGGAGCGGCCGAUGUCAGAUUAGCUAGUUGGUGGGGUAAAAGCUCACCAAGGCGACGAUCUGUAGCUGGUCUGAGAGGACGACCAGCCACACUGGGACUGAGACACGGCCCAGACUCCUACGGGAGGCAGCAGUGGGGAAUUUUGGACAAUGGGCGCAAGCCUGAUCCAGCCAUGCCGCGUGCGGGAAGAAGGCCUUCGGGUUGUAAACCGCUUUUGUCAGGGAAGAAAUCCUUUGGGUUAAUACCUCGGGGGGAUGACGGUACCUGAAGAAUAAGCACCGGCUAACUACGUG
rnacentral:rRNA from 1 species